GGGAUAGGAAAGGUAGCAGAAUACAACAGUCACUAAUAUGCCAUUAUGGAAAAAUGUGAAUGUGUAACCGAUGUGAUUCUGCAAUUUGUAUUUGGGGUAAAAAUGGGAGUUCAUAACCCACUUGAGUCAAAUGUAUGAAAGAUGAUAUGUCAUGAGCUUUGUAAUGUUUUGAACAACCAAUAAAAAUAAAUAAAUAAAUAAAGUCUCCUUCUAUUGUACGAUGUUAUUUCUUCAGUUUUGUCAAUGUUUAUGUCAUAUAGUUAGGAACUCUGAUAUUUGGUGCAUAUAUAAUUAUUAUAACUUCCUGGUGAAUUGACCUUUUAUCAUUCAGUGAUGCUAAUGAGUCUGUCUUUGGUUCUUGUAGCAGUUUUUGACUUAAAAUCUAUUUUGCCUGAUAUGAGUGUAGCCAUUUCUGCUCUCUUAGGCUAAAAUUCUAUGCAAAUGGUAACCAGUGUGUGUCCUUACAUCUAAAGUGAGUCUCCUAUAAAUAGCAUAUAGGUGAAUCUUUAAAAAACAAAUCUAUUCAGCCAAUAUAAGUCUUUUGAUUGGGGAGUUCAGUCUAUUUCCAUUUGACACAAUUCCUGAAUAGAAAGGACUUACUAUUGCUGUUUUAGUAAUUAUUUUCUGUGUCUCAUAGCCUUUUGUCCCUCAUUUCCUCUUUUACUGCCUUUAUGUUGCAUUGAUUUAUUUAUUUUUUACUUACGUGUAUGUGUCACAUGCUUUGAUUCCUUUUUCAUUUCCUUGUGUAUAUUUUGAGAUAUUUUCCUUGUGAUUAUCAUGGGGAAUUAUACAAAAAAUUUUAAUGUGUUACAACAAUCUAUUUUCAACUGGUAACAACUUGAACCACAUAAAAACUCCUUUAUAGCUCUGCAUGUACCUCAGUUUACAUAUUAUAUCUAUAUAUAUUGUAUGCCCAUUAAUAUAGAUUUAUUUCUAUGCUUUUGCUAUUUAAAUUCUAUGCAAGAUUAAAAGUGAAUGUAAUUGCAAAAACUACAAUAAACAUAUUAUUGUAGUUUCUAUCUUUGUCUACAUAUUUACUUUUACUGGAGAAUGUUAUAUUUUCAUUGGCCUUGCAUUGCUAUGUAGUGUCCCUUUUCUUUAACAUGUAAGAUUCCUUUUGGCAUUUCUCAUAGGGUUGGUCUGAUGGUAAUGAACUCCCUCAGCAUGGAGACAAAGUCCUAACUUUUCCUUCAUUUUUGAAGAACUGUUUUUGCCUGAUAUUGUAUUCUUGGUUUUUUAAUUUCAGCACCUUGAAUAUAUCAUUGC
rnacentral:lncRNA from 1 species